GGAAUUAUUGACAAAGUUGAAAAUAAAGCAACAAUAUGGUAUGAUUCUUGUAAAAAUUGCAACACAUCUUUCUCCAAAAUUGAUGAGAGUGCAAUAUGCAAAAAAUGCAAUGAAGAAGUUCUUGAGACGCGCCCAGGUAAUUAUCAAAUUUAAACCUACUACCAAUUAAAAUUAGUUAAUGACACAAUAACAAACAUAUAAUAAUUUUAUCAUUUCAUAUAUUUCUAGAUACAGAAUCACAAUAAAUGUUAUACAAGGCGACUGCAAUGCUCGUGUUACACUGUUCGAUCAAGCGGCAGGGGUAUAUGUAGGAUGCUCUGUGGAUGAAUAUCGAUCUUUCUUCAAUCAAAGAGGGUGAAACAGCCUCCACAUACUAUAGAGGAUUAAGCACACAAGUGUACACAAAAAUACGCUUCAUGGUGAUGCUCAAGUCUAUAAAAUUCGAUCAACAGAGAAAUCUCAAUAUUGUAGCAAAUGCAAUUCAAAAGACGCAACCGAUGUAAAGCAUCAAUGUUAGAGAUAUUGAAGAAGAGCCCACUCAAGAGGAAGAAAAGAAACAUUCACCCGAGAAAUUAAUCAAAAAAGAUACACCCAUCUAGAAAGAAAAAAACUAAGAUGGAGUUGCAGCCCACAGAACCGCCAAAGAAAAAAAGAAGAGUAGCCAAGAAAAAGUUUGAUGACUACAUUGAGAUUACAAGUGACGACGAUUUGCCGUUGAACAACAUUCGGUUGCAAACCAAAAAUAAGAAGAAGACAUCCCCAAUCAUCAAAAUCAAACAAGAGAAGAUCUAAAAUUCGUCUUGCUCCGUAUUUAGAUAAGUUAGGAUGUUUAUCGUAGAAUUUUUUUCAUUUUUAUUUAGAAGUAUAUUAUGAAUACUACUUUAUUGCAUUUAAAUUUAUUCAUUAAUAGUUGCAUUGA